rnacentral:rRNA from 1 species
GAUCAUGGCUCAGGAUGAACGCUAGCUACAGGCUUAACACAUGCAAGUCGAGGGGAAACGACAUCGAAAGCUUGCUUUUGAUGGGCGUCGACCGGCGCACGGGUGAGUAACGCGUAUCCAACCUGCCCACCACUUGGGGAUAACCUUGCGAAAGUAAGACUAAUACCCAAUGACAUCCCACGAAGACAUCUGAAUGGGAUUAAAGAUUUAUCGGUGAUGGGAGUGGGGAUGCGU